rnacentral:rRNA from 1 species
UACGAAGGGGCUAGCGUUGUUCGGAUUUACUGGGCGUAAAGGGCGCGUAGGCGGUCAGCACAAGUCAGUUGUGAAAUCUCCGGGCUUAACUCGGAAAGGUCAACUGAUACUGUGCGACUAGAGUGCAGAAGGGGCAACUGGAAUUCUCGGUGUAGCGGUGAAAUGCGUAGAUAUCGAGAGGAACACCUGCGGCGAAGGCGGGUUGCUGGGCUGACACUGACGCUGAUGCGCGAAAGCCAGGGGAGCGAACGGG